CAGAGGGAAAUGGCCUCUGCCAAGAGGAGCGAGGGGCCCGCGCAGCUGGGGCGCAGGACCCGGGGAGCCGCGCCAGGAGGAGGAUCGAGAGGGUCUCAGCCCCUCCGCGCCCCCAGGUUCCCACUCCAUGAGGUAUUUCAGCACCGCCUUGUCCCGGCCCGGCCGCGGGGGCCCCGCUUCAUUGCAGUGGGCUACGUGGACGACACGCAGUUCGUGCGGUUCGACAGCGACGCGGCGAGUCCGAGGAUGGAGCCGCCGGCGCCGUGGGUGGAGCAGGAGCGGCCGGAGUAUUGGGACCGGAGCACACGGAACGCCAAGGUCCACGCACAGACUGACAGAGUGAACCGGCAGACCCUGCUCCGCUACUACAACCAGAGCGAGGCGGGGCCAGGGUCUAACACACUCCAGAUAAAGUAUGGGUGAGACUUGGGGCUGGAAGGGCGCUUCCUCCGCGGUUAUGAACAGCACGCCAAAGAUGGCAAGGAUUACAUCGCACUUAACCGGGGCUUGUGCUCCUGGACCGCAGCUGACACGCGCAAGUGGGAGGCAGAGGAAUUUGCAAAGCAGGUCAGGGCCUACCUGGAGGGCAUGUGCGUCGGGUGGCUCCGCAGACACCAGGAGAACGGGAAGGAGACGCUGCAGCGCGCGGCCGUCUUCCCAGUCCACCAUCCCCAUCGUGGGCAUCGUUGCUGGCCUGGUUCUCCUUGGAGCUGUAGUCACUGGAGCUGGGGUCGCUGCUGUGAUGUGGAGGAAGAAGAGCUCAAGUGGGGAAGGGAUAGAAACAGAGUGAUCUACUCUCAAGCUGCAAUGUGAGACAACUGCCUUGUGUGGGACUGAGAGGCAAGAUUUGUUCACACCUUCCCUUUGUGACUUCAAGAAUCCUGACUUUCUUUCUGCAAAUGCACCUGAAUGUGUCUGUAUUCCUGUAGGCAUAAUGUGAGGA